UACGUAGGGUGCAAGCGUUGUCCGGAAUUAUUGGGCGUAAAGGGCUCGUAGGCGGUUUGUCGCGUCGGGAGUGAAAACCAGCAGCUCAACUGCUGGCUUGCAGGCGAUACGGGCAGACUUGAGUACUGCAGGGGAGACUGGAAUUCCUGGUGUAGCGGUGAAAUGCGCAGAUAUCAGGAGGAACACCGGUGGCGAAGGCGGGUCUCUGGGCCGAUACUGACGCUGAGGAGCGAAAGCGUGGGGAGCGAACAGG
rnacentral:rRNA from 1 species